rnacentral:rRNA from 1 species
CACUAAUUCCGCAUAACAUUCCUUGAACUUCGGUUUGGGGAUUCAAAGCCGCAAGGCGUCGGAGGAGGAGCCCGCGCCCGAUUAGCUAGUUGGCGAGGUAACGGCUCACCAAGGCAAUGAUCGGUAGCUGGUCUGAGAGGAUGGCCAGCCACACUGGAACUGAGACACGGUCCAGACUCCUACGGGAGGCAGCAGUGGGGAAUCUUGCACAAUGGGCGAAAGCCUGAUGCAGCGACGCCGCGUGGGGGAUGACGCUUCUCGGAGUGUAAACCCCUUUCGACUGGGACGAAUGCCUCGCAAGAGGAGUGACGGUACUAGUAUAAGAAGCCCCGGCUAACUACGUGCCAGCAGCCGCGGUAAGACGUAGGGGGCCAGCGUUGUUCGGAAUUACUGGGUGUAAAGGGUUCGUAGGCGGUGCGGCAAGUUGGGAGUGAAAUCUCUGGGCUCAACCCAGAGGCUGCUUCCAAAACUGCUGUGCUUGA